UCCGUCGUGGUGCAGUGGUAGCACAUUCGGAUGACAAAUCCAAAGACCCGAGUUCGAUUCUCGGCGACGGAA